rnacentral:tRNA from 1 species
GGUUCUAUGGUGUAAUGGUUAGCACUCUGGACUUUGAAUCCAGUGAUCCGAGUUCAAAUCUCGGUAGAACCU